UGUUAAAAAUUUUAUCCAUUUCCAUUGUUAAAAAUUAGCACGACUAAUAGAAUAACCAAACAAUGACCCGUGGUGUGCCAUGUGUAUCUCAUGCUGUCGUACAUGAAUAAUUUUUUAACAAUAAAAAUAGAUGAAAUUUUUAAUA
rfam:Gossypium hirsutum cultivar TM-1 chromosome 6, whole genome shotgun sequence